UACGUAGGUGGCAAGCGUUGUCCGGAAUUAUUGGGCGUAAAGCGCGUGUAGGCGGCCAGGUAGGUCCGAUGUGAAAUCUGGAGGCUCAACCUCCAGCGGUCAUUGGAAACCAUCUGGCUAGAGUCCGGAAGAGGAGAGUGGAAUUCCUGGUGUAGCGGUGAAAUGCGCAGAUAUCAGGAAGAACACCAAUGGCGAAGGCAGCUCUCUGGGACGGUACUGACGCUGAGACGCGAAAGCGUGGGGAGCGAACAGG
rnacentral:rRNA from 1 species